rnacentral:rRNA from 1 species
UACGGGGGGGGCAAGCGUUGUUCGGAAUUACUGGGCGUAAAGGGCUCGUAGGCGGCCAACUAAGUCAGACGUGAAAUCCCCAGGCUUAACCUGGGAACUGCGUCUGAUACUGGAUGGCUUGAGAUUGGGAGAGGGAUGCGGAAUUCCAGGUGUAGCGGUGAAAUGCGUAGAUAUUGGGAGGAACACCAGUGGCGAAGGCGGCUCACUGGACCGGUACUGACGCUGAGGCGCGAAAGCGUGGGGAGCAAACAGG